AAUAUACUUAAAAUCUACUAAAGUAAUUAUAAAUCCUUUUUGUUUCAAUUGAAUUUCAUGUUAUGUCUUUGAAAAUUGAGCUUUCUAAGUUAUUUCAAUAGAACAAUGAAGAUUUCAUAAGUUUAUGUAUCAAUAAAGCCGUGAAGAUAACGAAACGGUGAGUUUUAUUUUUAAUUCAGUUCUUUUUUAUUAUUAUUAUUAUUAUUAAAAUUUUAAUAAGGGACAAAUACACUUUUUC